GACGAACGCUGGCGGCGUGCUUAACACAUGCAAGUCGAACGGAAAGGCCCUGCUUUUUUGGGGUGCUCAUGUGGCGAGCGGAUGGGUGACAAACGAGUAACCUACCCUUCCCUCUGGGGUGACUUAAAGAAACUAAGGCUUAUUCAGACCAGAAGCUACUGAUUCUUGGCGGGGAUGGGAGAGGUGCGGCGGUUGGGGAUGGUCUGGCGGCUCUUCAGCUGGGUGGUGGGGUAGUGGAGUUCGAAGGCGUGGACGGGUCGCCGGCCUGAGAGGGUGACCGGCCACAGUGGGACUCAGAUAGGGGCCAGACGGCUACGGGAGGCAGCAGUAGGGAACAGUGCACGAUGGGCGGAAGGCGGAUGCAGCGACGCCGCGUGGGGGAUGACGGCCUUCGGGUAGUAAAGCGCUUUUGCCUGUGACGAAGAGGGAUUGACGGUAACGGGUAAAGAAGCACCGGCUAACUACGUG
rnacentral:rRNA from 1 species